rnacentral:tRNA from 1 species
GCUAUCGUAGCUUAAUAUAAAGCAUAGCACUGAAGAUGCUAAGAUGAACUUUAAAAGGUUCCGCACGCA